rnacentral:rRNA from 1 species
UACGUAGGAGGCGAGCGUUGUCCGGAAUCACUGGGCGUAAAGCGCGUGUAGGCGGAUGACUAAGUUUGCUGUGAAAGCGCCUGGCUUAACUGGGCGAGGUCGGCGAAAACUAGUCGUCUGGAGGCCGGUAGAGGGGGGUGGAAUUCCGGGUGUAGUGGUGAAAUGCGUAGAGAUCCGGAGGAACACCCGUGGCGCAGGCGGCCCCCUGGGCCGCGCCUGACGCUGAGACGCGAAAGCGCGGGGAGCGAACGGG